UUCUUUCUUAUAUUUCUCUUCUUUUCAUUCCUCUUGCUUUCCUCUUUUCCUUUUUGUCCUUUCUUUCUUGUUCUUCUCGACAGAGACGAGAGAGUGAGACUGAGAGAGAGAUCAGAGAGACCGAGAGAUUAAAGAGGGAGAGACAGAGACCGAGAGAGAGAUGGAGACCGUGAACCCGAGAGAAGGAGGCCCGAUUUCCGGCCGAUCUUCCGGUGGGUGAGCUGGGUCGACGCCGGCGGAGACAGAGAACCCGUUGGACCCAGAAGGAGGAUCCGAAACCCAGAGACCUGAUCUUCCGGUGGGUCGACUCCGGUGGUUUUUGGUGGGUCGGAGCCGGCGAUUCCGAGGGCGAUUUCCAAUGAAAUUUCCGGUGGGUUUUCUAAGAAAAUUCCUAAGAUGUUGAUGCUUCGGUUACAGGUACCGCAGAUGUCGUUGAAGAUCCUGUGGCAUUUUACUUGGGAGACUACGACUUAGACUCUUCGCAUGUGGUCGUAGGUGUGUCAGACUCGGAUAGUCCACAUUUUGUAUAGAUAUUUUGUAUAUGGCUUGUGUCUCAUGUGACAUAAGCCAUAUAUAGAGAGAAUGAUGUAUGGCUUUGAUGUUGUAAUUACUCUGUUUAGUUAUUGAGAUUAGUUUUCGCUGCA